GUCGCUUUACGCCCACGUUCAAAUUGUUCUGUGAGCGAGGGCCGGGCCGCGAGCAGGGGAGCCAGCGGAUACUACAGCUUCCAGGGGGCGAGGCUUCCCGCCUGCCUUUCCCGGCGGGCCGCAAUGCAUGCUGGGAAUCGUAGUUUCUAUGGGUGGCCGCUCCGCUAGCAGAAUGGCGCGUCACUUCCUGGGGUUCUACUACUUGAACGCACAGACUUCAGCAGAACCACAUGAUGCAAGGGGCAUCUUCACAGAUGGUCUUCACCUCUGCUCUGCUGCCUGAUGCUGCUGCUGGCCUGGUUCUUCCAGCUCCUCAAGUUGUGGCUGCACGUAAAUUUAAAGUCUGGUGUGUGUGUGUCUGUGUGUUUUGGUUUUUAUUACAGCAGCAGUUGAAAUGUGGUGGAGCUGAAUGACUGCUUCUUGUGCUGUAUCUUCCAUGUGACUCCAGAUAUCAGCAUCAUCUUAUUACAGGCCUUCUUUUCAGACCAACUGAACUCCUCAAUAAAAGCCAUGGCCAGCAAAAUUAUAUCCAAUCAAUUAAUCAGGAACUUCCUGAUUUUGGAAGGGAGAGUUAGCGACCAGGAAGCCAUAGAGAGAAAUUCAGAUGAGGUAUAAGUAUGUGAUGCUCCACUAAAGUCGAUGGUGUCACAACAGAGCUGAACUGAACCCUGAGUUUUGCUGAUGUGGCUUUCAUAAGAGAAGAAUACAUGGGCCAAAGGUGAACCAUUUAUCUGAAACUCUGACUAUUCUGAGGUCAGAGGAAAAUGGGACCUACAGCUGAGCCACCCACAGCUUUAGUCUGACAGAAGAUGUUCUGCAAAACCAAAAUCAUCCUUUGGUUUGCUAUCUCUGCAUACAGGCUAGUACUGAUAAACAAAACUCUCUUGCUAAAAGAAGUCUGUUUUCUGGAGCCUUGCUACAGAAGAUGAAGGACAACAGCUUGAGUAGCUUCCAGAAGCCUCUUUAUGGAGUUGUGUGAGAACUUUGCUUUGUUUCACCUUCUGUUGUCAGAUCCAAAACAGUUAAGUGCACCACAAGAGGAGGCUACAGGUGUAGAAAAAGACUGCGCUCUCCCCAUGAUGGGUAGCCCACAAGGGAGAAGCACGGCCCCCAAAGUCCUGGCUGGGAAGGUGUGUGGCUAGGGCAGCUAGAAGAUGUACUUAAUCAUUGUGUUCCUUUGAGACUUCUGCCAGUGCAGUUUUCUGAAGCCUACGAAUAUCAUUUACAGCUGCUCUCCAAAGAAAUUUCCAAAGGAGCGUGGUGAAGAAAACAGUGCCUGCCCUCGCUAGGGAAUGAAUCCACCUGGAUGUAGUGACCCCCAAUGAUGCAGGAAGAGCAAACUGAGGAGUAGUGAUCUGGCACACAAAAUAUAUUCAACAUCCUUUGAACUGAACAGUUAUUAAAGUUUCCUUCGGGUGAUAGCAAAACAUUCUGUACAUUACCAAAAAUAAUGCGGCAAUAUCUGUUUCUAAUAAAGUUAUGGCUGAGUGGAUUCAUAAAACAAACUUCUUUUUAUUGAUAAAAAUGACCCAUAUGCUAUAAUAAAGAAAAAGUAUAUUAUACAUGUAAGUGCUUUGUAGCAAAGUGUGCUCUGAUCAGAGUUAAAAUUGUUCUUCUUGUCAAAGGGAAGAAAUGUGACUGAGAGAUUGGAAAUCUAUUGAAAUAGCUCAACUGAUGUGCUGCUACAGUUUCUAGGCAAACUGAUAGUCCAUCUGUUCAUAAUAACUUAAUAAAACCAAGGAAUCAGUAUAUUCCUUUUUCCAUGAGAGGGUGACUUACUGUUUCAUAAAUGCCAAUGUAAUGUUUUAUUUGGUUCUGCAAUUCCUGGUUUUGCUCUUGAUCCCACAUAUUUUAACAGUUUGUGCAAAGUAUGAGAUGAUUCUACCCCUUUCCUUUCAACAUUUGUUUUGAGGAGUGAUCAAUGCCUUCUGCCUUGCCGUUAAAUAGAUUUUGAAAAACUCGUUAAUCCAUAUCAGUGUCAUAUCCUUAUUUAGGUCUUUACAUUUAUCCUCAGCUGGGAAUUCUGCAGGUAACUGUGAUUCUGUUGUGUUCAACGCUUAAAAGUGUUUCAUCCAUCAUCAUUUCGAGUCCUUUUCUGAUGCAAUAUAGUUUGUUCUUUGUCUUUCUUGAAAACUGAAUGGCUGUUAAAUUAUCCAUUUAUCUUCUUUCA